rnacentral:rRNA from 1 species
UACGAAGGGGCUAGCGUUGCCGUCGAAUCACUGGGCGUAAAGGUGCGUAGGCGGGUUUUAAGUCAGGGUGAAAUCCUGGAGCUCAACUCCAGAACUGCCUUGAUACUGAAGAUCUUGAGUCCGGAGAGGUGAGUGGAACUGCGAGUGUAGAGGUGAAAUUCGUAGAUAUUCGCAAGAACACCAGUGGCGAAGGCGGCUCACUGGCCCGGUACUGACGCUGAGGCACGAAAGCGUGGGAGCAAACAGG